GUGAGCUUGGCAGUACCUGGGUCCGCGUGGUUGGAGGGUCGAGGAGAGUGGUCUAGAACGCCACUUAAAGGGGAGGGCCUGAGACUAAGCCCGCCUUACCCUGAAGUGGUCGGGGGCGGGGAGGAGGGAGUGGGCAGAGCCCCGUGGGGUGGUCGCCACGGUGAGGUUGGAAGCAGGUUUAAGGCAGGGCUGAAAGUUGACUCUGGGUUGGAAUCCCUGGACUGGGGCAAGUAAUGGGAGCUCUGGAGAUAAGGCUUGGUACUUGGUGCUUGGGUUUGAGGAAUCGAAGUUCUGGGGAGUGGACGGAAGGAACCGGCAGAAACGGAGCCCAGGCUUGGCCCCCUGGGGUGGGAGUCAAAGAUUGUUUAAUUAUCCUUAACCAGCCCGGUUCUCUUUCUUGCAAGAAUUUUUGGAGUCUGUAUUCUCUGGAGUGUCUAGAAGGAAAGAAUGACGCUGCUACCAUGAGGUUGAAUCAGAACACCAUGCUGCUGGGGAAGAAGGUGGUACUUGUACCCUACACCUCGGAGCAUGUGCCCAGCAGGUAUCACGAGUGGAUGAAAUCAGAGGAGCUGCAGCGUUUGACAGCCUCAGAGCCGCUGACCCUGGAGCAGGAGUAUGCCAUGCAGCGCAGCUGGCAGGAAGAUGCAGACAAGUGUACCUUCAUUGUGCUGGAUGCCGAGAAGUGGCAGGCCCAGCCAGGCGCCACCGAAGAGAGUUGCAUGGUGGGAGAUGUGAACCUCUUCCUCACAGAUCUAGAAGACCCCACCUUGGGGGAGAUCGAGGUCAUGAUUGCAGGGGGAGGCUCUCCUGUUUCUGCUCCUUCUUGGUCCUCAGUUUCCCCCAAGUGGCUACUGACUAUCCCCGUGAAGCAGCAUACUGACUCCAUGAGAACCCAGCUGCAGGGGUAAGGGCCUUGGCACUGAGGCCGUUCUCGCGAUGCUGUCUUACGGUAAGAAAGUGUGAGCAGACAAUGCGGGAAGUGGCCAGGCCCCACAUGAACUUUGUUCAGGUCUGAGGGUUGGGGGCAGGUGAAGGUUCCUCCUCUGCAGCUUGGGACAGGAGGGGUGGGGGUAGGCGCCUCCUUACUUGCCCCUCUCUCAUCUCUGCGAGGAGUGACCAGACUAGGUCUGACCAAGUUUGAGGCUAAAAUUGGGCAAGAAAAUGAACCAAGCAUCCGGAUGUUCCAGAAACUUCACUUUGAGCAGGUAGCUGCGAGCAGCGUUUUUCAGGAGGUGACCCUCCGACUGACAGUGAGUGAGUCCGAGCAUCAGUGGCUUCUGAAGCAGACCAGCCACGUGGAAGAGAAGCCUUACAGAGAUGAGUCAGCAGAGCCCUGCUGAUGGCUGGGCCUUGUGGGCAGCCACCCUGUGUGAGCAGGGUGUUGGGCCCACGCACUCCAAAGACCAGAGCCCUGCACUGGGAGAGUGGUCCUGGCCCAGCCCCAGGCUGGGAAUCACCUUUCGGGGCCCUUCAGACUGUGGCGGGGCUUGCUGUGGCCUCCCUCCAGCUGGUGGUGUGGCUGAGCAGACUCCAGGGCCAGGGCCAGGGCCAGUUCCCUUCUCCCCUCCUGGCCAAAGCCAGACCCAGACUCUAGGAAACUGGAAUGGAGGGCAGGAAUCCAUGGGAGAUGUUGGGAUGAAGGUGGGAGCUGGAGGUGCAGGGGUACCUGGAGCAUGGAUGGGAGUGGAGAGACCUUUCUCCCUGGAGGCCAAAGGUGCUGCCCUGGCUGGGAGUGAAGCUCCAGGCAUGGUCAGCUUUCCUAGUUUUCCCAUUUAGUCUGUAUCUAGAGCUACCAGGAGGCCCAGCCUCCGUGUCUACUCAAGGGCAGCUGGGUCCUCUUGUCCUGCAGAAGCAGGCUGCUGUGACCCUGGGAGCUUGACCCGGGAACAACAGGUGGUCCAGAGAGAGUGUGGCCUGGCCCCUUAACCUAGCGUCCCUCCUCCUCUCUCCUGGAGCCAGUCUUGAGUUUAAAGGCAUUAGUGUUGGAUACAGCUCCUUACAGCUCCUUGUGGCCGGAGAACACCCCUCUGUUGAUGAAGCUCAGGGUGCACUGAGGAAGCAGAGGCCCCUCGGGGUGCCCUCCUGAAGACAGCGUCAGGCCAUCAGCUAUGUCCCUCUGGUGCUCUCACAUCCGCUCUUCACCCUGCACCUCUAGGAGCAGCUGCACCUGACUGGCCACGCGGGGGCAGUGGAGGCACAGGCUCAGGGUGGCCGGGCUACCUGGCACCCACGGCUUACAAAGUAGAGCUGGCCCAGUCUCCCUCUACCUGAGGGGAGCACUCUGACUCCUAACAGUCUUCCAUGCCUGCCAUCAUCUGGGGUGGCUGUCAAGAAAGGCCGGGCAUGCUUUCAUAACACAACCACAGGAGGCUUGCAGGGUAUUUUCCAGGCGGGGAAACAGUCUUAGAUAAGUAAGGUGACUUGCCUAAGGCCUCCGAACCCCCUUGAUCCUGGAGUCUCACACCAGACUGCAUGUGAAAAACUGAAACUGAAAACGUGCCUCAGUAUAAAACGAACAUCAUAAAAUGAACGUGUUGUUU